UACGGGGGGGGCAAGCGUUGUUCGGAAUUACUGGGCGUAAAGGGCUCGUAGGCGGCCAACUAAGUCAUACGUGAAAUCCCUCAGCUUAACUGGGGAACUGCGUGUGAUACUGGAUGGCUUGGAUUUGGGAGAGGGAUGCGGAAUUCCAGGUGUAGCGGUGAAAUGCGUAGAUAUCGGGAGGAACACCAGUGGCGAAGGCGACUACCUGGCCUGUUUCUUGACGCUGAGGCGCGAAAGCUAGGGGAGCAAACGGG
rnacentral:rRNA from 1 species